rnacentral:rRNA from 1 species
UUCCGGUUGAUCCCGCCGGACCAGACUGUUAUUGGGAUUCGACUAAGCCAUGCAAGUCUUCCGCGAGGAGGCGAAAGGCUGAGUAACACGUAGGUAACCUGCCUUCAGGUGGGAAAUAACCUCGGGAGACUGAGGAUAAUAUCCCAUAGGUUUAGGAUACUGGAAUGUUCCUAAAUCAAAAGUUUCGGCGCCUGAAGAUGGGCCUGCGACCUAUCAGGCUGUUGGUAGUGUAAUGGACUACCAAACCUUUGACGGGUAGGGGCAGUGAGAGCUGGAGCCCCCAGACGGGUACUGAGACACGGACCCGAGCCCUACGGGGUGCAGCAGGCGCGAAACCUCCGCAAUGCACGCAAGUGUGACGGGGGGAUCCCAAGUGUUCUUCCUUUAAAGAAGAACUUUUCUCAAGUGUAAAAAGCUUGAGGAAUAAGAGCUGGGUAAGACGGGUGCCAGCAGCCGCGGUAAUACCCGCAGCUCGAGUGGUCUGGACUUUUAUUGGGUCUAAAGCGUUCGUAGCCGGACCUAUAAGUUCUCUGUGAAAUCUAACGGCUUAACCGUUAGGCGUGCAGAGGAUACUAUAGGUCUU